rnacentral:rRNA from 1 species
UAAUACGUAGGGUGCAAGCGUUGUCCGGAAUUAUUGGGCGUAAAGAGCUCGUAGGCGGUCUGUCACGUCGGCUGUGAAAACCCGAGGCUCAACCUCGGGCCUGCAGUCGAUACGGGCAAACUAGAGUACUGCAGGGGAGACUGGAAUUCCUGGUGUAGCGGUGAGAUGCGCAGAUAUCAGGAGGAACACCGGUGGCGAAGGCGGGUCUCUGGGCAGUAACUGACGCUGAGGAGCGAAAGCGUGGGGAGCGAACAG